rnacentral:rRNA from 1 species
AUGGCUGUCGUCAGCUCGUGUCGUGAGAUGUUGGGUUAAGUCCCGCAACGAGCGCAACCCUCGCCCUUAGUUGCCAGCAUUCAGUUGGGCACUCUAAGGGGACUGCCGGUGAUAAGCCGAGAGGAAGGUGGGGAUGACGUCAAGUCCUCAUGGCCCUUACGGGCUGGGCUACACACGUGCUACAAUGGUGGUGACAGUGGGCAGCGAGACCGCGAGGUCGAGCUAAUCUCCAAAAACCAUCUCAGUUCGGAUUGCACUCUGCAACUCGGGUGCAUGAAGUUGGAAUCGCUAGUAAUCGCGGAUCAGCAAUGGCGCGGUGAAUACGUUCCCGGGCCUUGUACACACCGCCCGU